AACUUCACCGGUGCCGCCCUGAACGAGCCCGAUCCCGUCUGAUCUCGGAAGCUAAGCAGGGUCGGGCCUGGUUAGUACUUGGAUGGGAGACUAACUAGAAAGAUCAGGUGCUGUAGGCG
rnacentral:rRNA from 1 species